GGUGCAUUAGCUAAGUUGGUGAGGUAACGGCUCACCAAGGCCACGAUGCAUAGCCGACCUGAGAGGGUGAUCGGCCACACUGGGACUGAGACACGGCCCAGACUCCUACGGGAGGCAGCAGUAGGGAAUCUUCCGCAAUGGACGAAAGUCUGACGGAGCAACGCCGCGUGAGUGAUGAAGGCUUUCGGGUCGUAAAACUCUGUUGUUAGGGAAGAACAAGUAUGAGAGUAACUGCUCGUACCUUGACGGUACCUAACCAGAAAGCCACGGCUAACUACGUGCCAGCAGCCGCGGUAAUACGUAGGUGGCAAGCGUUAUCCGGAAUUAUUGGGCGUAAAGCGCGCGCAGGCGGUUUCUUAAGUCUGAUGUG
rnacentral:rRNA from 1 species